UGGGUCGCGUGUGGUUGGCAGGCAGGACAUACUGUGGCACCGAACCAUGUUCUAAAAACACGUUAUUAUAACAGGUCAUAGAGCAAGUUGAUCAGUAGUCUUUGAGGCUGCUAAGGUUGGUUUGUUUCGGCAGUGGGACGAUUGUGGCUGACUUCAGGCAUGGUGGGAUGCAGGACUGGGACAGUGAAGCGUUAAAGAUCUUAGUGAAGAACCCAGCCAGCUGAUCUGUGCAUUCUUUUAAAAAGAGCUUAAAUAUAUUUAAGAUGCUUGAUUCUGUCAACAACUUUGCUGAAAUCUUUUCGGCAAAAACUUUUGUGCAUUGAAAAUAUUUAAAAGAUGCUUGGAUGGAAAAUUAUUGUUACUUAGUAACUAAUUAACUCCAAAUACCAACAAACCAAAUCAGAUUACUCACUUUUCUUAACCAGGCAUUUCUUUUUUACCUGCAAUUUAAACAUUCUUUAUCUUCUGUAAUAACAUUGUCAUUCAAUUCCUUCAGUUAAAACAAAGGAAAACACCAUGUUUGAAGAAAUGAACAUGAAAAAUAAAGGAACUAAACGAACUUCUGACACAAACGGUUACCCUUUAAGUCUUUCAGUACGAAGGCAGGAAGAAAAUUUAUAUGAAGAAAUGAACGUGAAAAACAAAGAAACUAAACAAACUUCUGACACAAAUGAUAAGCAGUGUGCAUGUAUAAAAUCUUGUACAUCAGUAACCGCUUGCUGGGGUGUUCUGUUACUGAUCAUGGCCCUUCGCAUCUAUUUUACCACAUUGUUAAUUCAUAAGAACGAAGACUA